AAGAGACAGCAGCAGCCGCGGGAAUACGGAGGGUGCAAGCGUUAAUCGGAAUUACUGGGCGUAAAGCGCACGCAGGCGGUCUGACAAGUCAGAUGUGAAAUCCCCGGGCUUAACCUGGGAACUGCAUUUGAAACUGUCAGGCUGGAGUCUUGUAGAGGGGGGUAGAAUUCCAGGUGUAGCGGUGAAAUGCGUAGAGAUCUGGAGGAAUACCGGUGGCGAAGGCGGCCCCCUGGACAAAGACUGACGCUCAGGUGCGAAAGCGUGGGGAGCAAACAGGAUUAGAUACCCGCGUAGUCCCUGUCUCUUAUAA
rnacentral:rRNA from 1 species